rnacentral:rRNA from 1 species
GAUGAACGCUGGCGGCGUGCCUAAUACAUGCAAGUCGAGCGAACGGACGAGAAGCUUGCUUCUCUGAUGUUAGCGGCGGACGGGUAAGUAACACGUGGAUAACCUACCUAUAAGACUGGGAUAACUUCGGGAAACCGGAGCUAAUACCGGAUAAUAUUUUGAACCGCAUGGUUCAAAAGUGAAAGACGGUCUUGCUGUCACUUAUAGAUGGAUCCGCGCUGCAUUAGCUAGUUGGUAAGGUAACGGCUUACCAAGGCAACGAUGCAUAGCCGACCUGAGAGGGUGAUCGGCCACACUGGAACUGAGACACGGUCCAGACUCCUACGGGAGGCAGCAGUAGGGAAUCUUCCGCAAAGGGCGAAAGCCUGACGGAGCAACGCCGCGUGAGUGAUGAAGAUCUUCGGAUCGUAAAACUCUGUUAUUAGGGAAGAACAUAUGUGUAAGUAACUGUGCACAUCUUGACGGUACCUAAUCAGAAAGCCACGGCUAACUACGUG